rnacentral:rRNA from 1 species
CCGCCAGUAUUCUGGCGGGCAUGCCUGUCCGAGCGUCAUUUCAACCCUCGAACCCCUCCGGGGGGUCGGCGUUGGGGAUCGGCACUUACCUGCCGGCCCCGAAAUACAGUGGCGGUCUCGCCGC